GAAAAGGCAGCCAGAUAGAAUCCAGGAAGAGAAUCUGAUCCUGCUGGGCUUCUAACCUCCAGAGUUCAUCUUGGACUUCUAACCUCCAGAACUGUGCGGUGUUUCUGCCUGAAAGCAGUGCUUGAUACCAGCACGAACUCUGCAUCUUCAGAAGUCCCACUGGGUGUUCUGGUUUUUCUUCUUCUGAGAAAACCAAAAGCAUGAAAUUCUGAAGACUGGAGAUGACUUAACAAGAAAUGACAGUUAUAGAAAUCAAUGACUUGACUGAGGAUUAUCCAAGAAUGAGCCUUCCCAGUGCCAAGGGAUGAAGGCCUAAGAGAUUGAUCAUCACUGCUUCCAUGGGAAGAUUUUUUAUAAACAGGAGAAAUGAGGAAAGGAAAAUAGCUCCGAGCAGUCUGAAGUCUGCAAGGUGUGCAGGGCCAGAGAGACAUGAGUAUGUAUAUGAUGCCACACUAUGCCUAGGAAAAGUUUAGUCCUUGUGCCCCUGACUAGCUGCCUCGCCCAUUAUCUUCAUGUUCCUAGAAUUUGUAACACAAAGAACAAUGUACAACCUAUAAAUAGCUUAUGUUAUUUUAAUGUAAAUUUUUGGUAAACAACUCAGGAACUGCCUCUUCUUUCCCUUUACUUCCCUAAUUGUUUACAAGCAACACUUAUUACGUUGCUGAUUUGAGUGUAUAUUCAGGAUAAAUAGAAUCUAUGCUCCUGGGUUGCAGCCCUCAAGCUUGGUCCAAAUAAACUCUCUACUUACAUUGUUUGCCUCAGCUGCUUCCUUUUUUGUCAAAAAAUCCACGGAAUUAAAUGCUCUCUUGAAAUAUUUUAAAGAUUAAUCUUGACUGGUUC
rnacentral:lncRNA from 1 species